CAGCCUUGUGCCUCGCUCGGUCACAAUUAUCAUCUAUAUUAUGAUCUUGAGCUGGAUGAUCAAGGAGAAUUAUAUUUCUCUUUUACGAUUUAUAAUAGGCUAGAAUAAACUACAAAAGGAAUUCUUUUUUGAGUACGAGGGUAUCGAUCAAGUUGUCUCACGAUACUUUUUUUAUUAUCGUAAUUUAAGAAUACCAAAUCA
rnacentral:snoRNA from 1 species